rnacentral:rRNA from 1 species
UUCGUAGGUGAACCUGCGGAGGGAUCAUUACACAACAAAAAUAUGAGGGUGUGGUUUGCUGGCAACAGCGUCCGCCCCAAGUAUUUUUCACCCAUGUCUUUUGCGCACUUUUUGUUUCCUGGGCGAGUUCGCUCGCCACCAGGACCCAACCAUAAACCUUUUUUUAUGCAGUUGCAAUCAGCGUCAGUAUAAUAAUUCAAUUUAUUAAAACUUUCAACAACGGAUCUCUUGGUUCUGGCAUCGAUGAAGAACGCAGCGAAAUGCGAUACGUAGUGUGAAUUGCAGAAUUCAGUGAAUCAUCGAAUCUUUGAACGCACAUUGCGCCCUUUGGUAUUCCAAAGGGCAUGCCUGUUCGAGCGUCAUUUGUACCCUCAAGCUUUGCUUGGUGUUGGGCGUCUUUUUGUCUCUCCCCUUGUUGGGGGAGACUCGCCUUAAAACGAUUGGCAGCCGACCUACUGGUUUUCGGAGCGCAGCACAAAUUUGCGCCUUCCAAUCCACGGGGCGGCAUCCAGCAAGCCUUUGUUUUCUAUAACAAAUCCACAUUUUGACCUCGGAUCAGGUAGGGAUACCCGCUGAACUUAAGCAUAUCAAUAAGCGGAGG